rnacentral:sRNA from 1 species
CAGAUGAUUAAAGAGGAGGCAGGCAGAGUGAAUGGAAACCGUCUGCUCCGUGUCCCCCACCCCUCUAGGGGUCUUGGAGUUCAAGGCUCUCUAUCCUCCAGCCAGCUGGUGAGCUUGUUGCUCAUUGGAGUGGCUGCUUGGGGCAAGGGCCUGGGUCUGGUGUCCAGCAUCCACAUCAUCGGCGGAGUCAUUGCUGUGGGAGUCUUCCUUCUCCUUAUUGCAGUGGCUGGACUGGUGGGUGCUGUCAACCACCACCAAGUCCUGCUGUUCUUUUACAUGAUCAUCCUUGGUUUGGUCUUCAUCUUCCAAUUUGUAAUCUCUUGCUCAUGUCUGGCUAUUAACCGAAGCAAACAGGUAAGACAGUACCCUUUCAAGUACUUACUUGCUUUUUAAAAUUUUCCUCUUAACCUCGAACUCCUUCCUUAGUCUGGCCCCAACUACCCAAAGAUCAUCCUUAGGUGCACUGCUUCUGGCCUCUUGGGCUAUUUGCUUCCUCUGGGAUGUCUGGUUAAUUUUCCAUGAGGAUGAUCUAGA